UAGUUGUUCAACUUCAAUAACAAGAAUCAAAAUGAACCCGAGCAGUCUGACAGAGGAAGAAAAAAAAGCUAGGAUGAAUCGUUUAAAACCAGAGAAGAAAAUUGAAACACAUGAAUUUGAUGAAGACGAAGCAGAGAUUACUCAAAGAUCUUGGAAACAUUUUGUUACGAGAUAACCAUUAUCGAUUUUGUUUACUAUUUGUUGUUAACACAACAUAAUAUUUAUUUACUGAAAACAUAUUUCCUGGUCGAUAUCGCAAUAUCACUGUCAUGUGACGCAUUUUCAAGUAAUGAAUCACUAGAAA